rnacentral:lncRNA from 1 species
AACGAGACGAACGAGAAGAACAAGAGAAGAAUCACGACCCAUCACUACUGUAUACUUGAGGUUGGCUGAAACCCCCAUACGAUUACACAACCCUCCAAAUAGCAGUGUGCUUUAACAUACACACACGGUGCGGCCACACCAAACGCGUAACGCGCCUAACCUGAUGGUACGGCCACACCAACCGCGUUGCUCGCGUUAGGGGCGUUGAAAAUCGGCAUUUUUGCAUAGGGAACCAUUGGUUUAGGCGCGGUACACGCGUUGAAGCGUUGAAGCGUUGAUUUGGGGGCGUUAGGCGCGGCAGUUGCACGUAAUUACGCACGUAAACGCAGUAACGCGCCCAACGCACCAACGCCCGGAGUUCAGAAAAUUGAACUUUCAACGCUCCAACGCGUGACGCUUAGCCGCGGAAGCCAAUCAGCGUGGAGCUUGACCCGACGUCACUGGCAGAGAGUAGUGAGCUUGCACAGAAGCAUACGGCCGACAUCUUUCUUUUUUCUGGGUGGAAAUAGUAACAUAGUUACGCCAUUAAAUGCGUUUAUGGAAACAUUUCUAGCGAGAAAUGUGCAUUUUACUUUCAUAAUGUUCGCUCGGUGAAUGUGAAGGAUGUUUGGUUUGAUAGUUAUGACGAAGAGGGAACGCUCCGUUCACUUGCAUGGACAGAGUCUCUGGUUGCUAAGCAACCUCAAUCACCGAGCGAACAUUAUGAAAGUAAAAUGCACAUUUCUCGCUAAAAAUGUUUCCAUAAACGCAUUUAAUGGCGUAACUAUGUUACAUUUCCACCCAGAAUAAAGAUAGUUGUCGGCCGUGGCUGCGCUGGAGUCCGAGGUAGGAACCCAAACGCCGCCGUGUUUGGGUGAUAGAGCUUAGAUCGGGUUCGAUUAAAUAAUCUCUGAUAUAAAUAACAAUAAUCGGGUUAAAUAACUUCACAUGGUGUGUCUGGUGUGUUUCCAGCAUUCGUAGUGUUGAUCAGCAGAAAAUAGUCCGCCAAGACGUUGAGGUUGCUUAGCAUCCAGACACUCUGUCCAUGCAAGUGAACGGAGCGUUCCCUCUUCGUCAUAACUAUCAAACCAAACAUCCUUC